AGAAUCAACGCUGGCGGCGUGCCUAACACAUGCAAGUCGAACGAGAAAGGGGAGCAAUCCCUGAGUACAGUGGCGACCGGGUGAGUAACACGUGACUAACCUACCCUCGAGUGUGGAAUAACAUCGGGAAACCGAUGCUAAUACCGCAUAACAUCGCAAGAUCAAAGGAGUAAUCCGCUUGAGGAGGGGGUCGCGGCUGAUUAGCUAGUUGGCGGGUAAUGGCCCACAAGGCGAAGAUCGGUAUCCGGCCUGAGAGGGCGCACGGACACACUGGAACUGAAACACGGUCCAGACUCCUACGGGAGGCAGCAGUGGGGAAUUUUGCGCAAUGGGGGAAACCCUGACGCAGCAACGCCGCGUGGAGGAUGAAGCCCCUUGGGGCGUAAACUCCUUUCGACCAAGACGAUAAUGACGGUACUGGUGGAAGAAGCACCGGCUAACUCUGUGCCAGCAGCCGC
rnacentral:rRNA from 1 species